rnacentral:rRNA from 1 species
GACGAACGCUGGCGGCGUGCCUAAUACAUGCAAGUAGAACGCUGAAGGAGGAGCUUGCUCUUCUGGAUGAGUUGCGAACGGGUGAGUAACGCGUAGGUAGCCUGCCUGGUAGCGGGGGAUAACUAUUGGAAACGAUAGCUAAUACCGCAUAACAGUAGAUGUUGCAUGACAUUUACUUAAAAGGUGCAAUUGCAUCACUACCAGAUGGACCUGCGUUGUAUUAGCUAGUUGGUGGGGUAACGGCUCACCAAGGCGACGAUACAUAGCCGACCUGAGAGGGUGAUCGGCCACACUGGGACUGAGACACGGCCCAGACUCCUACGGGAGGCAGCAGUAGGGAAUCUUCGGCAAUGGACGGAAGUCUGACCGAGCAACGCCGCGUGAGUGAAGAAGGUUUUCGGAUCGUAAAGCUCUGUUGUAAGAGAAGAACGAGUGUGAGAGUGGAAAGUUCACACUGUGACGGUAUCUUACCAGAAAGGGACGGCUAACUACGUG